rnacentral:sRNA from 1 species
GCUGGGCAUGGUAGUGCACCCCUGUAAUCCCAGCAGCUCAGGAGGCUGAGGCAGGAGGAUCUCAAGUUCAAAGCCAGCUGCAGUAACAGCCAGGUGAGGCGCUAAGCAACUCAGUGAGACCCUGUUUCUA